CGCUGGCGGCAUGCAUCAAACAUGCAAGUCGGACGAGAUCUUCGGAUCUAGUGGCGCACGGGUGAGUAACGCGUGGGAACCUGCCUUUUAGCACGGGAUAACAGUUGGAAACGGCUGCUAAUACCGUAUACGCCCUCCGGGGGAAAGGUCCGCCGCUGAAAGAGGGGCCCGCGUCUGAUUAGUUUGUUGGUAGGGUAAUGGCCUACCAAGGCUACGAUCAGUAGCUGGUCUGAGAGGAUGAUCAGCCACACUGGGACUGAGACACGGCCCAGACUCCUACGGGAGGCAGCAGUCGGGAAUAUUGGACAAUGGAGGAAACUCUGAUCCAGCAAUGCCGCGUGUGUGAUGAAGGCCCUAGGGUUGUAAAGCACUUUCAACGGUGAAGAUGAUGACGGUAGCCGUAGAAGAAGCCCCGGCUAACUUCGUGCCAGCAGCCGCGGUAAUACGAAGGGGGCGAGCGUUAUUCGGAGUUAUUGGGCGUAAAGGGCUCGCAGGCUGCUUGAACAGUUAGACGUGAAAUCCCCGGGCUCAACCUGGGAACUGCGUUUAAUACUAGCAAGCUAGAGAAAUAGAGAGGAAAGUGGAACUCCCAGUGUAGAGGUGAAAUUCGUAGAUAUUGGGAAGAACACCAGUGGCGAAAGCGACUUUCUGGCUAUUUUCUGACGCUGAGGAGCGAAAGCGUGGGGAGCAAACAGGAUUAGAUACCCUGGUAGUCCACGCCGUAAACGAUGUGUGCUAGAUGUUGGAAAGGUUACCUUUCAGUGUCGCAGCUAACGCACUAAGCACACCGCCCUGGGAAGUACGGUCGCAAGAUUAAAACUCAAAUGAAAUUGACGGG
rnacentral:rRNA from 1 species